AAAUUGAAGAGUUUGAUCAUGGCUCAGAUUGAACGCUGGCGGCAGGCCUAACACAUGCAAGUCGAACGGUAACAGGAAACAGCUUGCUGUUUCGCUGACGAGUGGCGGACGGGUGAGUAAUGUCUGGGAAACUGCCUGAUGGAGGGGGAUAACUACUGGAAACGGUAGCUAAUACCGCAUAAUGUCGCAAGACCAAAGAGGGGGACCUUCGGGCCUCUUGCCAUCGGAUGUGCCCAGAUGGGAUUAGCUUGUUGGUGGGGUAACGG
rnacentral:rRNA from 1 species